UUAGCUCACCCUUAGCAAUGUAGUGAUACUUUUUUUUUUUUUUCCAAUUUGAAACUUCUGUUGCAGCCAGACUAGUUUUGGUUUAGUUUGGUUUUUGAAUCCUCAGAUUUGUUGACUUCCAUUUGCAGCCUUGAGAAUCCGAUGCAAGAUGGACCAAUAACCAAACGUCCUUGACAGUGUGCUUGACCCUGUCUUGUGCAUAUCUUUGCUGUUUGCCUCAGAGCCUUGCUUCUAGGCAAGACUUGAAAAUUUAAUGUAAAAAAGAAGUAGGAACAACAGAUUGUUUUUAGAUUAAGAAAGAACUACUAAAAAAAAAAAAAACAACAAAACAAACACAACAAAACAAAACAAAGAAGCCAACCAUAAAAACAACCUUUCGUGUCCUCUAUGCAUUAUGAAAAGGGGAAAAAAAAGUCCAAAGGUUCUGUGCCCCCUUUCUUUGUUGGUCUCCUUUGAUGAUUCUUUCAAGCGGUUGUAUGUUGUUGGUUUCUUUUAGGUUUUCUCUGGUGUGGGACUUCCCUGCAAAGAAAGUUUCUCUUGUUUUUCAUUAUGUAAAAUAUGAAGCUUUAUAUUGCUGCCUUUCACAUGCCAUUAUAAGCUUCUCUUGCAGUUUGAAACAAAAGGCACAUUCUUGCUGGCUUUCCUUGUUGUUGCAUCUCAUUUUUGAGAGUGAUAAAGAUGGAAGUCAAAAUGAAUGGCAGCAUUUAGGAUCCAUUUUGUUUCUCAGGGCUACAGAGUAAGAAGCAUGCAGCAUUUCACCGUUCCUGCAGAAAAGACCAACCAAAUGCUUAAUGAAGGAAGUCUCGUUUCUGAACAGUUAACCAUGGUUCCAGUCUCAUAAUGGUCCCUAGCAGGAAGGAGGAGGGGGCUCUGGUUCAAUUUCUUGCUUCCAGAGAAGACACGUGCCCUCAGCUUUUCCACAUCAGCUGGUCUUUUCAACAUCAGACAAGCAGAACAUUGCGAGCUUGCUCAAGUCCAGCUCUUGAAUACGGGACUGGAAAUGAGGUGGAGAAAGCAAAGGGAAAGCAAGAGCUCAGGUUACAUCUUCUUUGUUUUUGGGGUCCGUCUUUGGGAACUGGGGAAGGGUAGAACUUCUUGGAGCUCAGCUCUGUAGCCCCCCAGCUGCCUUGUGCCACAGCACUACCUAAAGCUACUUCCAUGCCUCUUAUCUUAAACCAGUGUCUCCCCUGUGUUCCCUCUCUGGUACUUUUGCUUGUAGUCUUUAUCCUAACACUUGCAUUCAAACGUAAAGGUAAGAACUAGAGCCCUUCUGCUUCGUGGGCUUCCUCAGAUUUUGGGCUUAGAUCCUGCUCUUUUAACUAGUGCUUUCCCACCCACUCAAAUGUCCUCCCUACCAGCCACAGCGUUUCCGGAAGGGGUACAAAGUACUCUGUGCAGGGUUUUUCAAGUGUUUUGAGCUGUAGACCCCCAACAUGUUUCCAGUUAAAUUGUGGACACCUCUGUAGAAAAACUCCCCCUAUGACAUAAAAAAAUAUAAAUAAAAUCAUUUUAAACAGUUUUGGCAAUCUUGUUGUUUCAGGUAUGCUCCCUGCUUAUCCUGUGACAUAAAAAUAUAGAUCAGGUGGCCCAAUGCUUCCUGCUGCUGCCUAACCAUCAGUUCUGUCCCUAAGGAGAGGGGAGAAGGAACAAAAGGCUCAAUCCAUGAUAGCUGUAGUAGGGAUCGACGUGCUUCCCCGGCUGGGUGCAGCAUGAAUUCCUAGGAAUGGCAACAAAUUCAGCUCAGCUCAGCUGCGGAUGAGCACUGCAACUUUCCUUGGAAACUACUGGAUUGAUCCUCUACCUUUGGCUACAGGUAAUUGCGUUGCCUCUUGUAGUUAUUUUGGGGUGUUUAGAAGGAGAUUGUACUAAGACUAGCAAAAACUGUUGCAUCCUCUCUCUUUGUGGUCUCUUCCUUUAGAAAUUAUUAUGAUUUAUUUUUUUGUUCCAGUUUGUCUUCAUGCUUUCUACCUAGCUGAUCUGUUACCAGUGUGGAAUAGGAAGGGAAAAUGAAAGUAUACUUUGAGCACAUGGCUGUGUUCUGUUCAUUUUUAUAGCACAGUAUCUAGUGCAAGCCAUUAUUGGAACUGCAGGUGGAAAAGCUGGAUGAUUUAAGGACUUUAAAAUCGCAUUUUCUUCCAGCCUGAUAUAGUUAUGGACUGUUAAUACACUGGGCUGAACUCUGGAAUAGAUGCAGCUCAGUAAAAGAUAAACACAUUCUGGCUGGUUUAGCAUGUAUUAAGGCAUUUUUCUUAUGCUCUCUCUUUAAUCAUUUGACUUUUUUUUUUUUUUCCUCUACAUGAAGUGGUACACUUUUAAAAGGUGAAAAGAGACAAGGUAGCAGACGGCUCCUCUAAUAAGGGGUCAUAAAAUUCCCACUGAUCUGUUACUUUGGAAGUGCUAUCAUGCUGCUAUGCUUAAUGAAAGAUCAGUCAUGUAAAUUGUUCCUGGGAUUCAACUUAAUUACCUGCAAGAGAUGGAACCUUCUGUUACAAAGGCCUAAUAAAAUAUCAGGUGGCUUUAAUGAAGCCAGUAAGGUGACAGUUUUAAACUGAAAUCUUGCUUAAUAAUGGAGAUGACAGCGGAUUUGAGCACGGUAUUUUAUGGACAGCAUGUAAUUUCUCCACUGCAAGGUGAGAGUCACAAUUUUUAAGCUGUGUUAGUGAGAAACCCUAAGUUCACUGUCAGUGUUUUUCCUCUAAGCCUCAGACUACAUGGCCGACACCUGGAGAAGAUUACCUAUUGAAAGAUUAUUUUAGCCUGAAACUUGGCAUACAAUAACUGGGGUGAUUUCUCUUAAUACUUGUAAAGGAAGCCACUUAUCCAGAUAAAUAAUUGAAAUCUGGAGGUGCUUCAGGAUAACAUGACUGCGACUGUUACUAAAUAUUGAAACGUUAAACAAGUAAAGAUGCUUAAAAUUUUAGACCUUUAAUGUGACUAAUUUUGUAAUCAUUUGGAUGCCUUCCUGUACAUUUUCAAUGACAUAUUUGGAAUUUGGAGAGUAACUUGCCUUCCCUACCACUACUGCCAGUUUUGUGUUAUUUUAAUUUAUUUAUUUAAUGAGAGUAUUCCAGUUCUAUUUGCAAAUACUGAAACUUGUAGAUUGUUUGAAGCACUUGUGCAUAUUUCCAUUAACAAAGGGCAGCAGGCCAUCACCUGAGGCUGCUUUCUGGAGAAUAAUGAGCCUGAUGCAAGCAAGCUGCUGGUUCAAAGCUGUGAACAGGGGACCCCCUGACACACACGCUCUGGUGUCAGUCUCAUGGAUUUGAUCAAUGCUACUUUCCAUUUAAAAGAGGAAAUUAAUUGUUUUACUCCAGAGAAAGGCCCGGGUUGAUUCAGUCCAUGGCAGGCCAGCACCUGACUUGCAUGGAAAGGGAAGAGCCACUGCCACAUCUUCCUGGUGCUCUGCUGCUGCCUUGGCAUGGGGCGAUGCUGCCUUUUAUUUUGUUUCCCUCUGCAAAAAUCAAUAGGCAAGUUCCAUCAGGACCCCUGGUGAAUGUCAGAGGACUUGUGCUUAUUUCUCUGUUUCUUUCACAAACGACCCAAAUAUUAUGUAAGCAUUCUUUGCCCCCCUGCCUGCAGGCUUUUCCCACCAGCCUGACAGAGUGACUGACUAGGGAUGGGGGUUGGAGGUAUAUUUGCUGCACAUGGAAGGAAGAAAACUCAAUUUUCUACACCUUCUGCCUUGAAACUAAAGAUUUGUGUGUCAAGCUUUCUCUGCUGCUUACCAGAAGUAUUGAGAGAUUUCCAUUCCUAUUCCCCCAGCUGGCAUCCUGGGUUUGUAUCUUUUCUCGUUGAUGAGAGCAGAGUGCUCUGUGGACUGUUGGGUGGGAGAAAAAUGAGGUACGGUAGCGUUUCUCGUACAGAAAGCUGUAUGCCAGGAAGAGCAGAGCUAAAACAACUUUUAUUAUUAUUAUAAUAUAUUUUUUUAAGGUAGGGCCAAGUCUAUGCCCAGCAGUUUUGAAUGUAGUAGAAAGCAAGAUAAGUUGGUGGACUGUGUAGAGUAAGACACGGGAGGAAUUUCUGCCCCUCUGCUUCUGUUCUGGACACUUCCUUGCCCUGGAGCUGCAAGCAGUGUCAUUUAAGAUAAGCAUUAUUACUGCAGUUAGCCAUCGGUGUCUCGUGUUCUGCAUGUUCAGUGUCUGGAUGUGGCUGAAAGUGCUCCUGACGGCAGAACUCGGGACCAUACUGUCUCAGUCUGCCCCUUAUCUCUGCGUGAGCUGAAACUUGCAAUCCUGAUGCAAGCUGUACCCACGCAGUGGGGUGCGGGGAGGAUUAAUGGUUCUGAAUAUUGGACAAUGACAAGUCAGCACUGUGUGCUAUUGGUGUGAGUCAACUUUGAAUCCUUGCCAAAGAUGGCUUUUGCAAACAAAAUUUAGCACUAAUUUGUCAAUGGGUUAGUUUACAAUAUGAUGUAAAGCACUCAGUCAUAUAAUGAAUCCUUCUGGAUUGAAAGAAAAAUGCCCAUAAUGACU